CUUCUAGAAAUUAUCCAUCAGCUUGUUAUACUUAGCACCCAAGUUGUAUAUUUGAAAAGGUUAUAUAACCCAAUCUGUCCAACCUCCCAACUUGGUUUUUACAUUUCCUGGAUUUACCCUUUUGCCCAACAUGGAGUACAUACUGCAGAAAACAGUCUAAACUAUUGUUCAACCUCCAUAUUCUUCAUUUAACUUGCUUCCUAACUUGGUUUGCGUUAUUUUGGUUUGACCAUGGUGCAGCAGAAAUGAUUCAGUCAAAGUGAGGGAAAGGCCAAGGAGCUACUGGACCAGGGCGAGGGAUGUGGCCUCCUACUGAUCGAAACCCACAGCCAAAACCGGUAGGUUGGACUUUGAGAGAUGAAGCUGUCGUGGACUCUGAUGACUCCACUCAACCCCUAGAUGAUGUACAUUCAUCAUUUUUGCCUCCCAAUACUCAUGCAGAUGUGAAUACAAUAGGCGAGGGGGUGAAGCCAAAGGGACAGAGUUUGAGAGGAUGCGAAAGUAUGGCAAGAUACCACUUGAGAUCAAAGAUAGGAAGAUGGGUCCAUCAUGCAACAAUAGAACAGUCUACACAAUAAGAAUGACGUGGAUCAUGAAGCACUACGCAAAAAUGAGGCAUGUUAGUUGGAGUGUUGUCGACGAAAAGGAGAAAGAGGAGCUUAUUCAUCGUGUUCGAAAAAAUCAUCUUCAGACAACCACAGGUUAGCUAUCUUGUGCAUAUAAUGUGUUUCAUUACAAGCUACACCUUAAAUACUUGAGUUAUGCAACACAUGAGGAGGCACUAGCUAAUGGAGAUGCGUUGGUAAAGCAGCCGGUUUGGGAGCGGUUAUGUACUCGGUGGGGGAGUGAUUCAUUCAAGAUGGUUCAAAAGAUGAAUGCAAAAGAGCCAGAGGCUCGCACAGAUGAAGCAGCGUGGUUUCAUGGCUAUGAGGGAGCAUAUGCAAGAUUAUGAGACACGUGUAAACAUGAGAAUGUCAGAAGUGGAGAUAGAAUUAGAGUCUUAGAGAGAGACUCAAACUGCAAUUCCUUAGGCAUCACGUGUUUGCUAGCUGUAACUACUUCUGUAUUUUGACCUACACUUUUGAUUACCUUUUGACGAGGUUGUCAUGAGGAGGAUGAAGUACUAGCAGUAAUAAUUUGUCCAUUUUAUGGUGUUGUAUUCCGCUCUUGUUGGAAAGGGUGAAGGAUGCAUGGGAGGUAAUGUGAUUUCUUGCCCUAUUAUAAAUUUA